CAGUAGCCGCGGUAAUACAGAGGGUGCGAGCGUUAAUCGGAUUUACUGGGCGUAAAGCGUGCGUAGGCGGCUUCUUAAGUCGGAUGUGAAAUCCCUGAGCUUAACUUAGGAAUUGCAUUCGAUACUGGGAAGCUAGAGUAUGGGAGAGGAUGGUAGAAUUCCAGGUGUAGCGGUGAAAUGCGUAGAGAUCUGGAGGAAUACCGAUGGCGAAGGCAGCCAUCUGGCCUAAUACUGACGCUGAGGUACGAAAGCAUGGGGAGCAAACAGGAUUAGAUACCACCGUAGUCCCUGUCUCUUAUAC
rnacentral:rRNA from 1 species